rnacentral:rRNA from 1 species
GACAGAGGGGGCAAGCGUUGUUCGGAAUUAUUGGGCGUAAAGGGCUCGUAGGCGGACCGGUGUGUCUGGCGUGAAAUCUCCACUGCUUAACAGGGAGGGGCCGCUGGAAACUGCCGAUCUUGAGUAUGGUAGAGGACCAUGGAAUUUCGGGUGUAGCGGUGGAAUGCGUAGAUAUCCGAAAGAACACCGGUGGCGAAGGCGGUGGUCUGGACCAAAACUGACGCUGAGGAGCGAAAGCUAGGGGAGCAAACGGG